rnacentral:tRNA from 1 species
GGGGGCGGAUAGGGUCCGGUGGCUCUACCGGUCUUCAAAACCGGAUACGGGCGUUAGACGUCUGUGGUGGGUUCGACUCCCACCCGCUCCCGCCA